GUCCACGCCCUAAACGAUGGAUACUAGGUGUGGGAGGUAUUGACCCCUUCCGUGCCGAAGCCAACGCGUUAAGUAUCCCGCCUGGGGACUACGGCCGCAAGGUUAAACUCAAAGGAAUUGACGGGGCCCGCACAAGCAGCGGAGCGUGUGGUUCAAUUCGAUGCAACACGAAGAACCUUACCUAGGCUUGACAUGCAAGUGGUAGUGAAGCGAAAGCGGAACGACCCGCAAGGGAGCUUGCACAGGUGUUGCAUGGCUGUCGU
rnacentral:rRNA from 1 species